GAAUCGCGGGAGUCACCAUUUUCCAUGUCAUUGGCGGUGAAUGAACAUUGAUUGGUGAACCUACAGAAAGAUCUAUAUGAAGAAGAAAGAUGAUUUCAUAGCAGGUAUCAAGACUAGUUAACUUCAGUUCCAGAGUAUUGAGAAAAAAAAAGGAUGCAUGCAUCUGUUGCCUCAUUGAGUAUCUUGGGGAAAAUCAAGAAGAGCUGUUCCAAGACUGUCAGGAGGAUGAACUUGAAGGCCACACAAAUGAAACAAUGAAGUUGGUGGUUAUUCACAAUCCCGCAGUUGAGGAGGACCCAGCAGAUGUGUGUGUUGUAAUAGAGGGCAUCAAAGUGCUGAAUGGUUGUGGUAACAGAACCACAGUGUGCAUACUGUUUAUGGGAUUGAUAUAUGCCCUCAACCUUGAAUAUUCAAAAAAACUGAAGUACACCUUUGAAGUCUUCCAGAAACUUUUUUUGAAACUUGACGGAGCAAAACUGCUGAAGAAGGUCCAAAGCCUCAAGUGUAAACUAAUGGAAUGAGC